GCGGGCGGCGACAGACCCGCCGUGCGCUCAGCGAGCAGCCGCCCAGCGCCCGGCGCCCAGCCCGGUGCCGCGGCUCGGCGCGGCCCCCCAGCCAGCGCCCCCACCCGGAGCCGAUUACCUGCAAUGAUGAAAUGAAGUAACUCAAGAUGAGCAAGUUAAAAGUGGUAUCAGAGAAAAGCCUUACCAAUAAUUCUUGGAUUGUGGGACUCCUGGCUCAGCUGGAGCAAAUAAACACUAAAUCAGCAGAAUCGGAUACUGCCAGAUAUGUCACAUCAAAGAUUCUUCAUCUUGCUCAAAGUCAAGGUGGAGAGUCACAGAGAGGCAGAGGCAGAGAGAGAGAAGUCUUCACUCCCCAAAUGGCCACAAUGGCCAGAGCUGUGCAAAUCUGAAGCCAGGAACCAGGAGAUUCUUCCAGGUCUCCCACAUGCAUGCAGAGGCCCAAGGACUUCAAGGCUCAUUCUUGUUGUAGCAUUCAUCAGUGUUCCCUUUUUAUGGCUGAAUUAUGGGUCAUUCAUUGCUUGUUGUGGUGGAAUGAGAAGGCCAUGCCAAGGUGGCCACUGGCAAGCAAGCAUCAGUUACUCAGGAAUGGCUUUGGAAACUGCCUGGCAACAGGCUGUGAUUGGAUGGCUUUGGAAACUGCCUGCAAACUGUGAUUGGAUGGCUUUGGAAACCACCUGGCAAACUGUGAUUGGUUGGGGCAUAGACCGCCCCUUGACAGGAUUGGCUGGUCUUGGCUAUAUAAGCUGUUGUACCACCUGAAGUAAACAAGUCUGCGGGCUGCUCGCCUCAAGCCUGCUUUCACCUGACUCCCCGGGGUCUGUGUGGUGACUCUGUGCC